GACGAACGCUGGCGGCGUGCUUAACACAUGCAAGUCGAGCGAUGAAGCACCUUCGGGUGUGAAUUAGCGGCGAACGGGUGAGGAACACGUGAGAAAUCUGCCUUCAACUCUGGGAUAACUCCGUGAAAACGGGGCUAAUACCGGAUAUGAAACCUGCGGGCAUCCGCGGGUUUGGAAAGUUUUUCGGUUGAAGAUGAUCUCGCGGCCUAUCAGCUUGUUGGUGAGGUAAUGGCUCACCAAGGCGACGACGGGUAGCCGGCCUGAGAGGGCGACCGGCCACACUGGGACUGAGACACGGCCCAGACUCCUACGGGAGGCAGCAGUGGGGAAUAUUGGGCAAUGGAGGAAACUCUGACCCAGCGACGCCGCGUGCGGGAUGAAGGCCUUCGGGUUGUAAACCGCUUUCAGCAGGGAAGAAGCGAAAGUGACGGUACCUGCAGAAGAAGCACCGGCUAACUAUGUGCCAGCCGCCGCGGUAA
rnacentral:rRNA from 1 species